rnacentral:tRNA from 1 species
UUUAAGUUAGUUUAUAUAAAAAUAUCAAGAUGUGGGCUUGGAGAUAGGGGUGCCCCUACUUAAUA